rnacentral:rRNA from 1 species
CUGCUGAAUUUAAGCAUAUCAAUAAGCGGAGGAAAAGAAACUAACUAGGAUUCCCCCAGUAACGGCGAGCGAAGCGGGAAGAGCUCGAGCCUGUAAUCGCGAGUGGUUGCCGCUCGCGAGAUGUGGCCGGUAGAAGAGGACUUUGCACCGUGCUAGCCUGGUCGAAGUGGACCUGGAAGGGCACGUCGCAGAGGGUGAGAGCCCCGUGGGAGGCCUCGCUAGCCGGUGCAGUGGUUCCCUUCGGAGAGUCGGGUUGUUUGGGAAUGCAGCCCAAAUUCGGUGGUAAACUCCACCUAAAGCUAAAUAAUGGCACGAGACCGAUAGCGAACAAGUACCGUGAGGGAAAGGUGAAAAGCACUUUGAAAAGAGAGUCAAAGAGACCGUGAAACCGUUGGGAGGGAAGCGUAUGGGUCCAUGACGACUUCACUCAGGUUCAGGGUGUGCCAGGUGCAUUGUUGUCGCGUUUGGGAGCUCUGUCAAGAGUCGAUCUGCGGCAAGGGGUGCCCUGUCGCACCUGCAAUCUCGUUUGGAGUCCGCCAACGGCGGUCGGCGGUGUCCCAACAGGGCAGGGGGGAGGUAAUUCCGCUUUCCCUGGAAGGCGGAAUACGUAUAGCCUACCCGGUUCGGAGGGCACCGGCGUCCGAGGAGUGAUGCCGAACGUGGCACGUUGCGGUGCAGGCUCGAACAUCAGUGGGCCGGCUCGCUCGUGGGUUCGCGUGCUUCGNGGCGGAGCGCUGGUCUCAGUGCCCGUCGACGACAGAGUUGCGCUUGCCGGGCGAGGUCGAGCACGAUGUGCACCGCAGUCGUUGGUGGUCGUAUGGUUCCAUCCGACCCGUCUUGAAACACG